GACGAACGCUGGCGGCGUGCUUAACACAUGCAAGUCGAACGGAGCGAAUGAAAGCUUGCUUUUAUGAGCUUAGUGGCAAACGGGUGAGUAACACGUAGGCAACCUGCCGACAGGAUGGGGACAACAUUCCGAAAGGAAUGCUAAUACCGAAUGAAGCGGAGGAGAGGCAUCUCCCCUCCGUGAAAGAUGGCCUCUUUUUAUGCUAUCACCUGUCGAUGGGCCUGCGUCUGAUUAGCUGGUAGGUGAGGUAACGGCUCACCUAGGCGACGAUCAGUAGCCGGUCUGAGAGGAUGAACGGCCACAUUGGGACUGAGACACGGCCCAGACUCCUACGGGAGGCAGCAGUGGGGAAUCUUCCGCAAUGGGCGCAAGCCUGACGGAGCAACGCCGCGUGAGUGAAGAAGGUCUUCGGAUCGUAAAGCUCUGUUGAUGGGGACGAACGUGCCUAAUGCGAAUAGUUUUAGGCA
rnacentral:rRNA from 1 species